UAUUGCACAAUGGGGGAAACCCUGAUGCAGCGACGCCGCGUGAGUGAAGAAGUAUUUCGGUAUGUAAAGCUCUAUCAGCAGGGAAGAAAAUGACGGUACCUGACUAAGAAGCCCCGGCUAACUACGUGCCAGCAGCCGCGGUAAUACGUAGGGGGCAAGCGUUAUCCGGAUUUACUGGGUGUAAAGGGAGCGUAGACGGCAGGGCAAGUCCGAUGUGAAAGCCCGGGGCUCAACCCCGGGACUGCAUUGGAAACUGCCUGGCUUGAGUGCAGGAGAGGCAGGCGGAAUUCCUAGUGUAGCGGUGAAAUGCGUAGAUAUUAGGAGGAACACCAGUGGCGAAGGCGGCCUGCUGGACUGUAACUGACGUUGAGGCUCGAAAGCGUGGGGAGCAAACAGG
rnacentral:rRNA from 1 species